rnacentral:rRNA from 1 species
GAUGAACGCUAGCGGCAGGCUUAAUACAUGCAAGUCGAGGGGUAGCAGGUAGCAAUACGCUGACGACCGGCAAACGGGUGCGGAACACGUACACAACCUUCCUUUAGUGGGGAAUAGCCCAGAGAAAUUUGGAUUAAUACCCCGUAACAUAUUGAAGUGGCAUCACUUUAAUAUUAUAGGUUACCGCUAAGAGAUGGGUGUGCGGCUGAUUAGGUAGUUGGCGGAGUAACAGCCCACCAAGCCAACGAUCAGUAACUGAUGUGAGAGCAUGAUCA